rnacentral:rRNA from 1 species
UACGAAGGGUGCAAGCGUUACUCGGAAUUACUGGGCGUAAAGCGUGCGUAGGUGGUUCGUUAAGUCUGAUGUGAAAGCCCUGGGCUCAACCUGGGAAUGGCAUUGGAUACUGGCGACCUAGAGUGCGGUAGAGGGUGGCGGAAUUCCCGGUGUAGCAGUGAAAUGCGUAGAUAUCGGAAGGAACAUCAGUGGCGAAAGCGACUUCCUGGACCAAUACUGACGCUCAUGUGCGAAAGCGUGGGGAGCAAACAGG